UGGGGAAUCUUGCACAAUGGGGGCAACCCUGAUGCAGCGACGCCGCGUGAGCGAUGAAGGUUUUCGAAUCGUAAAGCUCUGUCCUAUGGGAAGAUAAUGACGGUACCAUAGGAGGAAGCCCCGGCUAACUACGUGCCAGCAGCCGCGGUAAUACGUAGGGGGCGAGCGUUGUCCGGAAUUACUGGGCGUAAAGGGUUCGCAGGCGGCAUGGCAAGUCCGAUGUAAAAGGCGAAGGCUCAACCUUCGUAAGCAUCGGAAACUGUCAAGCUUGAGUGAAGGAGAGGCAAGUGGAAUUCCUAGAGUAGCGGUGGAAUGCGUAGAUAUUAGGAGGAAUACCGGUGGCGAAGGCGACUUGCUGGACUUCAACUGACGCUGAGGAACGAAAGCGUGGGUAGCAAACAGG
rnacentral:rRNA from 1 species